UAUUGUUUCUACUGAAAACAUUGCAGGUACCUGGGGUGUAUGUACCAAUAGCGCUAAUUGGGGAUGCUAUCGGGAAGGAAAGUAUGGCAUUUUGCCUCCUGUGAUGUCUGGCAAGCUCAUGAGUAACCCAACAUUGAGAUAUGGUGUUGUUGAAGUCAGAGCAAGGAUUUCUAAAGGAGACUGGAUCUGGCCAGCUAUUUGGAUGUUGCCAAGAGACAAUGUGUAUGGAGGCUGGCCUCGUUCUGGUGAAAUUGACAUCAUGGAGUCCAGAGGU
rnacentral:sRNA from 1 species